rnacentral:lncRNA from 1 species
UUUGAGUGAAGAGUCCCCAGAGGAACACCCAGAGAGCAGACGGUGGACUGGGUCAUGAGCGAUGUGGGAAGGUGCAGCCCACUUCCACAGUACUAUUCACUGCACCAACCUCCAACUGGUGACUCUCCUGUGCCAGCAGCCCUCGUUUGAAGGUGGUUGUUCAAGAUUGUCCAGAGCAUCUGGAGACCCCUGUGUUUUGUGGGGUUCCUCUCCGUCUGGUCAGCCAUCAAGGGAAGAAAUCUGAUUAAGGUCUGGGCUCAUCUUGUAGAUAGAUAAUAAAACCUUCCCAGCACCAAGCCA